GACGAACGCUGGCGGCGUGCUUAACACAUGCAAGUCGAGCGGAAAGGCCCUUCGGGGUACUCGAGCGGCGAACGGGUGAGUAACACGUGAGUAACCUGCCCCAGACUUUGGGAUAACCCUCGGAAACGGGGGCUAAUACCGGAUACGACACAGCUUCGCAUGGGGUCUGUGUGGAAAGUUUUUCGGUUUGGGAUGGGCUCGCGGCCUAUCAGCUUGUUGGUGGGGUGAUGGCCUACCAAGGCGACGACGGGUAGCCGGCCUGAGAGGGCGACCGGCCACACUGGGACUGAGACACGGCCCAGACUCCUACGGGAGGCAGCAGUGGGGAAUAUUGCACCAUGGGCGGAAGCCUGAUGCAGCGACGCCGCGUGAGGGAUGACGGCCUUCGGGUUGUAAACCUCUUUCAGCAGGGACGAAGCGUAAGUGACGGUACCUGCAGAAGAAGCGCCGGCCAACUACGUG
rnacentral:rRNA from 1 species